rnacentral:rRNA from 1 species
AAAAGCUYGUAGUUGGAUCUCAGUUCGGGACGGACGGUCCGCCUACCGGUGGUCACUGUCCGAUCUCAACACCAGCCGGUUUCUCUAGAUGAUCUUCACCGGUUGUCUUGGGUGACCGGCAAGUUUACUUUGAAAAAAUUAGAGUGCUCAAAGCAGGCGUGAUGCCUGAAUAAUGGUGCAUGGAAUAAUGGAAUAGGACCUCGGUUCUAUUUUGUUGGUUUUCGGAACACGAGGUAAUGAUUUAGAGGGACAGACGGGGGCAUUCGUAUUGCGACGCUAGAGGUGAAAUUCUUGGACCGUCGCAAGACGAACUACUGCGAAAGCAUUUGCCAAGAAUGUUUCCAUUAAUCAAGAACGAAAGUUAGAGGCUCGAAGGCGAUCAGAUACCGCCCUAGUUCUAACCAUAAACGAUGCCAGCUAGCGAUUCGGCUGUGUUCCUCAAAUGACACGCCGGGCAGCUUCCGGGAAACCAAAGCUUUUGGGUUCCGGGGGAAGUAUGGUUGCAAAGCUUAAACUUAAAGGAAUUGACGGAAGGGCACCACAAGACGUGGAUUUUGCGGCUCAAUUUGACUCAACACGGGUAACUUUACCUGGCCCGGACACAGGAAGGAUUGACAGAUUAAGAGCUCUUUCUUGAUUCUGUGACAAGUGGUGCAUGGCCGUUCUUAGUUGGUGGAGCGAUUUGUCUGGCUAAUCCCGAUAACGAACGAGACUCUAGCCUACUAAAUAGGCGUUCCGAUCCUUCUUAGUUGGACGUUCUUCUUAGAGGGACAGGCGGCGUUCAGCCGCAUGAGACAGAGCAAUAACAGGUCAGUGAUGCCCUUCGAUGUUCGGGGCCGCACGCGUAAUACAUUGAAGGAAUCAGCGUGUGCUUUCCCUGUCCGACAGGACUGGGUAACCCGUUGAAACUCCUUCGUGCUGGGGAUAGGCAUUUGCAAUUAUCUGCCUUGAACGAGGAACGCCUAGUAAGUACGAGUCAUUAACUCGUGUUGAUUAAGUCCCUGCCCUUUGUGCACACCGCCCGUCGCUGCUAGCGAUGGAUGGUUUAGUGAGGUCUCCGGACUGGUGCCCGUACUGGACUUCGGUUCGAGACGGUGU